GACGAACGCUGGCGGCGUGCUUAACACAUGCGAGUCGAACGGAAGGGCCCCUUUGGGGGUACUCGAGUGGCGAACGGGUGAGUAACACGUGAGUAACCUGCCCUUGACUUCGGGAUAACUUCAGGAAACUGGGGCUAAUACCGGAUAGGAAUCCUUGCUGCAUGGUGGGGGUUGGAAAGCUUCGGCGGUUUUGGAUGGACUCGCGGCUUAUCAGCUUGUUGGUGGGGUAGUGGCUUACCAAGGCUUUGACGGGUAGCCGGCCUGAGAGGGCGACCGGCCACAUUGGGACUGAGAUACGGCCCAGACUCCUACGGGAGGCAGCAGUGGGGAAUAUUGCACAAUGGGCGGAAGCCUGAUGCAGCAACACCGCGUGCGGGAUGACGGCCUUCGGGUUGUAAACCGCUUUCAGCAGGGGCGAAGCUUUUGUGACGGUACCUGCAGAAGAAGCACCGGCUAACUACGUG
rnacentral:rRNA from 1 species